UGGGGAAUAUUGCACAAUGGGCGCAAGCCUGAUGCAGCAACGCCGCGUGAGGGAUGACGGCCUUCGGGUUGUAAACCUCUUUUAGCAGGGAAGAAGCGAAAGUGACGGUACCUGCAGAAAAAGCGCCGGCUAACUACGUGCCAGCAGCCGCGGUAAUACGUAGGGCGCAAGCGUUAUCCGGAAUUAUUGGGCGUAAAGAGCUCGUAGGCGGUUUGUCGCGUCUGCUGUGAAAUCCCGAGGCUCAACCUCGGGUCUGCAGUGGGUACGGGCAGACUAGAGUGCGGUAGGGGAGAUUGGAAUUCCUGGUGUAGCGGUGGAAUGCGCAGAUAUCAGGAGGAACACCGAUGGCGAAGGCAGAUCUCUGGGCCGUAACUGACGCUGAGGAGCGAAAGGGUGGGGAGCAAACAGGCUUAGAUACCCUGGUAGUCCACCCCGUAAACGUUGGGAACUAGUUGUGGGGUCCAUUCCACGGAUUCCGUGACGCAGCUAAUGCAUUAAGUU
rnacentral:rRNA from 1 species